GCUGCGCAUCACUUCGAUGGCCCUCUCGAACGGAAGAUCGGUGAGCCGCUGCCCGUUGCACCAGAUUAUCACGUCGCCGGCCUUCAGGCCUGCCGCUCGCGCGGGACCGCCUUCCCUCGUACCCUAAAGAUUCGCUUUUUGAUGCUAUUAACCUGAACGGUGAGACCAGGUACGAUGCCUCUGCAAACACCGCAGCCCAGGCGACCCUUCUCGCCGACGAGUAUCCGAAUUCUGACUUCUGAGCUCGGUACGCCGCCUAAACCAGUUUCGUUGUACUGCAGCUGUUGUUGCUGUUGCUGAACCAUGUGCCAGGUAACCGGAUCGUUUGGAUUGCUUUGCGAAUCAUAAGCGAUUUUUGUAAUGAAAGGAUGUCGAUCUCGAGGAAAGGGGUGGAAACACACGUAUGCACGGUGCGCACAAGGUUUUAAUUAAGUUUCGAUACUUACUCUUUUACGGGUAUCAUCCCGACGCCUGCAAUACAAAUCGAAAGUCAUAAAUUGCCGCUAUCAGCAACGAGAUAUAGAGAUUAUUGCAACACGCCGCGCGUAUUACUGUUAUUAAUUAUUUUUCUUUCCGAUUCGCGAAGGCUAUAUCUCUCUCUCUACGCGAAGCGCGGCACGUAGAAUGAAAGUUUACGUUCAAACUAUUAUAUUUCGCAACAAAGAUAAUUAAGAUGAGGACGAGAUAGUUACUUCGAAUUUUGAGAACCAGGACUUGCUGAUUCUUCGCUAGGAGCGCGACCUCUUGGUGGACGGCGUCCUCCACCGGGUAACCGUUCACCCUCAGGAUCUGAUCGCCUACCUGAAAGUGACAGUUUGAAAACGAUGUCGUUAACCAACGUCUUUUCGUAAUCUUUCCAUGUUAAUUAGCGUCACAGUUACACGACCAUCGUAUGGAAAUAAUUCUCAACUGAAUCACAAAUAACGUGAAUCAAGAAUUCCCAAAGUAUAGGUCGUGAAAAAUUUCUCAAUGAUGGUAGAAAUCGAAAUCAAAUUUCGAAAUGAACUACUGUUAUUAAACCCUUUGUACAUGAAAAUGAUUCGCUUCGCUGCGACAUCAAAGAUAUCAUCAGUAGGAAUAGGAAAUGAGCACAUUACUCAUCUUCAUAACUUCAUUCUCAUAUUUUGAGAAAUACAUUUAUAAAAUUAUACUUGAUAAAAAAAUUAGAAAGCAGAAGGAGUAAAGUAAUGGAAAUAAAAUGGUAUAAAUCAA